GGACGAACGCUGGCGGCGUGCAUAAUACAUGCAAGUCGAGCGGACAGAUGGGAGCUUGCUCCCUGAUGUUAGCGGCGGACGGGUGAGUAACACGUGGGUAACCUGCCUGUAAGACUGGGAUAACUCCGGGAAACCGGGGCUAAUACCGGAUGGUUGUUUGAACCGCAUGGUUCAAACAUAAAAGGUGGCUUCGGCUACCACUUACAGAUGGACCCGCGGCGCAUUAGCUAGUUGGUGAGGUAACGGCUCACCAAGGCAACGAUGCGUAGCCGACCUGAGAGGGUGAUCGGCCACACUGGGACUGAGACACGGCCCAGACUCCUACGGGAGGCAGCAGUAGGGAAUCUUCCGCAAUGGACGAAAGUCUGACGGAGCAACGCCGCGUGAGUGAUGAAGGUUUUCGGAUCGUAAAGCUCUGUUGUUAGGGAAGAACAAGUACCGUUCGAAUAGGGCGGUACCUUGACGGUACCUAACCAGAAAGCCACGGCUAACUACGUGCCAGCAGCCGCGGUAAUACGUAGGUGGCAAGCGUUGUCCGGAAUUAUUGGGCGUAAAGGGCUCGCAGGCGGUUUCUUAAGUCUGAUGUGAAAGCCCCCGGCUCAACCGGGGAGGGUCAUUGGAAACUGGGGAACUUGAGUGCAGAAGAGGAGAGUGGAAUUCCACGUGUAGCGGUGAAAUGCGUAGAGAUGUGGAGGAACACCAGUGGCGAAGGCGACUCUCUGGUCUGUAACUGACGCUGAGGAGCGAAAGCGUGGGGAGCGAACAGGAUUAGAUACCCUGGUAGUCCACGCCGUAAACGAUGAGUGCUAAGUGUUAGGGGGUUUCCGCCCCUUAGUGCUGCAGCUAACGCAUUAAGCACUCCGCC
rnacentral:rRNA from 1 species